rnacentral:rRNA from 1 species
AUUGAACGCUGGCGGCAUGCUUUACACAUGCAAGUCGAACGGCAGCGCGGGCUUCGGCCUGGCGGCGAGUGGCGAACGGGUGAGUAAUACAUCGGAACGUGCCCAGUAGUGGGGGAUAGCUCGGCGAUAGCCGGAUUAAUACCGCAUACGACCUGAGGGUGAAAGCGGGGGAUCUUCGGACCUCGCGCUAUUGGAGCGGCCGAUGGCAGAUUAGCUAGUUGGUGGGGUAAAGGCCUACCAAGGCGACGAUCUGUAGCUGGUCUGAGAGGACGACCAGCCACACUGGGACUGAGACACGGCCCAGACUCCUACGGGAGGCAGCAGUGGGGAAUUUUGGACAAUGGGCGAAAGCCUGAUCCAGCAAUGCCGCGUGUGUGAUGAAGGCCUUCGGGUUGUAAAGCACUUUUGGCGGGAACGAAAAGGACUGUGCCAAUACCACGGUUCGAUGACGGUACCCGCAGAAUAAGCACCGGCUAACUACGUG